UAUGUUUUUGUACUUUUUUAAGCAAAAGAUAGAAGAAACAAACUCCAACUUAAAAUCCCCUGACCAGGGGCUCUCGGUUGAGCCCCUAGUCUCGGUUGAAGAAAGGCUAGAGAUAAUGUGAUUUAACGUGUAAAGAUGUAAUGAUGUAAAUAAAUCCCGAAAAAAAUUUUAAAAAUUAAAAUUAAAAACUUGGAAGAACUUAAAUUAUAACUUAAUAAAUUAAAAGAAACUAUUAAGGAUGCUGCGCAACGAAAAGCACUCAAGCGAAACAAGACAAAUAUAAAGUUACUACGAUUUGGUAAGAAUAGUUGGGAACAAACCUAAAAAAGCACAAGGAAAAAAACUACUCGAUCUUUCCAUUAACAUUUAAAACCAUCAUUUGUUAUUAUAAUAGAUGUGUUUUUUAUAAAGGUGGCUUUUUUUUAUAUAUUAAA